rnacentral:rRNA from 1 species
AGCAGCCGCGGUAAUUCCAGCUCCAAUAGCGUAUAUUAAAGUUGUUGCAGUUAAAAAGCUCGUAGUUGAAUUUUGGGUCUGGCCGGGCGGUCCGCCCUCUGGGUGAGCACUGUUCCGACGCCGGGCAUAUCCUUCUGGUGAGUCGGCAUGUCCUUUGUUGGGUGUGUCGGGGAACCAGGACCAUUACCUUGAAAAAUUAGAGUGUUCAAAGCAGGCGUAUGCUCGGAUACAUUAGCAUGGAAUAAUGAAAUAGGACGCGUGGUGCUAUUUUGUUGGUUUCUAGAACCGCCGUAAUGAUUAAUAGGGAUAGUUGGGGGCAUUAGUAUUCAAUUGUCAGAGGUGAAAUUCUUGGAUUUAUUGAAGACUAACUUCUGCGAAAGCAUUUGCCAAGGAUGUUUUCAUUAAUCAAGAACGAAAGUUAGGGGAUCGAAGACGAUCAGAUACCGUCGU